rnacentral:rRNA from 1 species
AGAAUCAACGCUGGCGGCGUGCCUAACACAUGCAAGUCGCACGAGAAAGGGUAGCAAUACCUGAGUACAGUGGCGCACGGGUGAGUAACACGUGAAUGAUCUACCUCCGAGUGGGGAAUAACUGAGAGAAAUCUUAGCUAAUACCGCAUAAUACCCACGGGUCAAAGCAGCAAUGCGCUUGGAGAGGAGUUCGCGGCCGAUUAGGUUAGUUGGCGGGUAAUGGCCCACCAAGACGAUGAUCGGUA